AAACAGGUCGGCACUAGAUCAUAGACAAGAUACGUACAUAUCUGAAACUGCAAUACAUACGAGUCAGCGGUAUUCCAUCUUUAAAAUUCAAAUAAAUUAGUGCGCGAAAUUGGAAAAAACGCGCGAAACCAAAGCAAUAUGGCCAGUGCUCUCACUUUUAAGGAAUUAUCCUUAAAAAUAGGAAUUUUGAAGAGUUUUAAGGAUUUUUUUAAGGAAUUUAGGUUUUUGAGGAUUUUUUUAAGGAAUUUCCGAAACAUUUUAUCCUGGACGGAGAAUAACCACGCCACGCAAAUGAGAUUUAAACUUGAAACACACUAUAUGCACAUAAUUACAUAUAUUCGUAUGUUCUCUAUGUCGUAUAAAAUCUACAUAUGGCUGUCUUUCCAUUAAAAUUCCCAAAAGUUAAAUGUCAGUGUAUGCUGUUUCUUCUGAAAUCUACAGAUUUUCUAAGUUCUCAGGGCCGUAGCGACCGGGAGGGAGGGUGCAACACCCCUAAUAUUGCUCAUGAACAAUUUCAGGUAGAUUUCCUGUAGAUUUUCAGGUAAAUUCAGGUAAUUCUCAGGGCAUAAAAAAGUGAACUCUAUAAUCUGAAUUAGAGAUAACAAUCAAACAAACUAAAGACGUUGAGACUUGUUGUGGCAGGGGGCAAUUGCGAAAUACCCUUUCUGACGAUCUGGAGACUCCAAAUUUCCGAAAUUUUCUCAAUUUCCCAUUAAAAUUAAACUGAAAGUAGCAAUACUUAUAUUCAUUGUUAGGCAAUACUAGUAAAAUAUUGGGUAGGAAAGACUCUAAAAAUGCCAUUUCCGACGGUCUAGAGACUUCAAAUUUUCAAAAAAUACGGUUUUAAAAAACUUUCAGUUGAAAAAUUCUGAAAAAAACACUUUUUGCAACUAUGUGAUCAGGCCUUGUAGUAAUUUUACCAAUUUAAGGAAUUUUAAGGAAAUCUGAGGAAUUUUCGAGCUUUUUCUAAGGAAUUCGAAAAUUUGAUUGUGAGAGCACUG